GACAGAGGGGGCAAGCGUUGUCCGGAAUUACUGGGCGUACAGGGCACGCAGGUGGCUGCAUAGGUGGCGUGUGAAAGCCCCGCGCUUAACGCGGGGAGGCCACGCCAAACGGUGCGGCUCGAGCGAUGCAGAGGGUGGUGGAAUUGCCGGUGUAGUGGUGAAAUGCGUAGAUAUCGGGAGGAACACCAGUGGCGAAGGCGACUUCCUGGCCUGUUCUUGACGCUGAGGCGCGAAAGCUAGGGUAGCAAACGGG
rnacentral:rRNA from 1 species